ACUUAGCCCGAAGCUCCAGUACCAACCAAACCUAGCCGUCACAACGAACAGAAAAAGGUACACCUUCUCCCAUUUUAUCUCUUUUCCCAAUUUACCCUGUAUCUUCCGUCAAACCCUGACAACCAUUUCCACGCCUUUUCUUUUUCUCUUUGUUCAAUCUUUCAAAUCCUACACAUUACCAUUAUUCAUAUUUUUAUUUUUUACCCUAGGGUUUCCUCGUGCUCGAUAUUUCGUAUUUUUGCAAAUUAAAAUAAACUUACCGAAAAUCCCCCUUCCCCAAAAUUAGGUUUUGGUAUUAUUUAUUGGCGAUUGGUGUUUAAGGUAGGUUUGAUGGGGGAUCGGGGUUCGAGCGCCGCGAAACCGAUUUGGAUGAAGCAAGCGGAGGAGGCGAAGCUGAAGAGCGAGGCGGAGAAGACCGCGGCGGCGAAGGCGGCUUUCGAGGCCACGUUCAAGGGUUUGGAGAAGAAUCGGGAGAAGGGUGGUGGUGUCGUUCAAUCGGACAGCGAGUCGGAGGAGUACGAGGACCUGGCUCAUAAGCCCAUUGGGCCCGUCGAUCCCUCCAAGUGCACUGCCGCGGGGACCGGGAUCGCCGGUGGAACGGCGUGUGCUCCGUCAUCGUUUGUGGUGGUUGCUAAGGACGCCGAUGAGAGGAAGGUUUCCAAUGGGGGUGCGCAAAUCAAGGUGAGGGUGACGCCCGGGUUGGGUGUUGGAGGGUCUGAACAAGAGGGAAUGGUGAAGGAUAUGGGUGAUGGAACUUACACUGUGACAUAUGUGGUGCCCAAGCGAGGGAAUUAUAUGGUCAGUGUUGAGUGUAAUGGGAGGCCUAUCAUGGGGAGUCCCUUUCCUGUGUUUUUCAGUGCAGCAGGUAAUGGUAGUGGAGGGCUGCUGGGUUUAGCUCCUGCAUCUACAUUUCCAAACCUGGUUAAUCAAACUAUGCCCAACAUGCCAAAUUACUCUGGAUCAGUUUCAGGGGCAUUCCCUGGAUUGUUGGGAAUGAUUCCAGGGGUUGUUGCUGGAGCUUCUGGGGGUGCUAUUUUGCCUGGCAUUGGUGCCUCACUUGGGGAAGUUUGUCGUGAUUACCUUAAUGGGCGUUGUGCAAAAGUAGAUUGUAAGUUGAAUCACCCACCUCAUAAUUUGCUGAUGACUGCCUUAGCUGCGACAACCUCAAUGGGAACACUUAGCCAAGCUCCUAUGGCACCUUCUGCUGCUGCAAUGGCUGCAGCUCAGGCAAUAGUUGCUGCCCAAGCCCUUCAAGCGCAUGCAGCUCAGGUGCAAGCUCAGUCUGCAAAAGAUUCUUCUGGUUCUCCUGAAAAGUCUAGUAAAGAUGAUGCAUUGAAGAAAACCCUUCAAGUUAGCAAUCUUAGCCCUCUUCUCACUGUGGAACAGCUAAAGCAACUCUUUGCAUUCUGUGGCACUGUAGUUGAAUGUACGAUCACUGAUUCAAAGCAUUUUGCUUAUAUAGAGUACUCAAAGCCUGAAGAGGCAACUGCUGCUCUGGCGUUAAACAACAUAGAUGUUGGGGGGCGCCCUUUGAAUGUUGAAAUGGCAAAAUCACUUCCACAAAAGCCAUCGGUGGUGAAUUCUUCACUUGCUUCGUCAUCUCUUCCUCUGAUGAUGCAGCAAGCUGUUGCAAUGCAACAGAUGCAAUUCCAGCAAGCAUUGUUGAUGCAACAAACCAUGACUGCACAGCAGGCUGCUAAUCGAGCUGCAACCAUGAAAUCUGCCACAGAGCUAGCUGCAGCCCGAGCGGCAGAAAUAAGUAAGAAAUUGAAUCCUGAUGGACUUGAAAGUGAAGCAAAAGAGGCGAAGCAAAAAUCCAGAUCACCGUCUCCCCCUCGUGGAAGAUCUCGAUCAAAAUCAAGGUCUCCUAUCAAUUACCGAAGAAGGAGAAGAUCUCGCUCUUAUUCACCUGUGCGUCACUCUAGGGAUCAUCGUUCUCGGUCACCAUUGAGGUCACAUCAUUACUCGAGCUAUGAAAGGGAAAGGCGCUAUAGAGAUAUUAGGGAACAUAGUGAUAGGUACAGAAAGCGAGAUUUGGAUAGAUCACUUGAUUACCGUUUAUCUGCUUCUAGAAGGAACAAAAGUAGGAGUGUUAGUCCUCAUACACGGAAAUCAUCUGUUUCUCCAAAACAUCAUAGAGACACUUCACCUCAUAGAGGAAGGAAACAGUCACGUGCUGAUUCAGGCUCUCCAAGCCGUCACAGAGGUAGGUCUUCUCCAAAGACUGAUGAAAAAAAAUUAAGAAACAGAAGGCGCUCAAGGUCAAGAUCAUCAGACGAUAAUAGGCUUCACUAUAGCAAAAAUGAAGAAAUCUUGGAUGGAAAAUCUAAACAAAAAGAGAGAAUUCGUUCCAGGUCAGUGUCUGUGGAUGAAAAGCCUCACAGAAGGAGCCGGUCAUCACCGAGAAAAGUGGAUGAAAGUAGAUCCAGAUACAAAAAACGCUCAAGGUCUAAAUCUGUGGAUGAUAAGCAUGACUCCCCCGAGAGAUUGGAUAAAAACAGAUAUAGAAGAUUGAGGCAUAAUGAUAAAAGGCACUCUAGGUCAAGAUCUACAGAAAAUAGGGAUCAGGCUGAUUUUAGGGUGGGUGAAAGCAAAAAUGAAAAGUCAAAACAUCGUGAUUCUAGAAGGGGCAGGUCAAAAUCUGUUGAAGGGAAGCAUCGCUCUAAAGAUAAAUCUGGUGAAAAUAGAGAUAAGAAAAAAAAACAUCGAGAUAGAAGGCGUUCAAGGUCAAUAUCAUUAGAAGGUGAGCUGGAGAAAAGAGGCACUUCACCCCAUAUUAAUUUGGAUGAGAGAAAUUUUGAACUGAAACAGUCCAGUUCAAAGUUCCCUGAAGGCAAGCAUCACUCCAGUGAUAAAUAUGCAAAUAGAGAUGAAAAAUCAGAUCAUCAAAAGAAAACCCCACCUAAAUCAAAAUCAAAACAAUUUGAUGGGAGUGGGUCCUUCCAAGGAAAUUUCGAGGAUUAUGAAUCAAAGGGGAAAUCACAAUCUGAUUCUGGAUCUGCAGAAGUUAAGCAUAAUUUGAAUGAUGGAGAAGAUACUACCUGUGAAGAAAACUCAAAACUUUCUGGAGAAGUCAAGGACUCAAGUACCCUUAAUGAUACUGAGAUGCUGACCUCAGUGAAUGGUAACUACAAGUUAGAAGGGUCAAAUGAAGCUGAUGAUAACCCAGGAUGGAUAUGCGUGGAAGAAGUGGGAAAUGUAAAAUAUUAAGCAAACAUGGCUUGGAGUAUUGGUUCCAAAUGAUAAUCCAAAAUUCUACCUCGCUUUCUGAUAGUGCUAACAAUAUAGCUAUUAGUACAGAUUUCUGUUAUUUGCUCUUGAAUCAGAAGUAUCUAAGGAGUAAGGAUAAUUGAAGCUCGCUACUUACAAAUGCCUAUCAGGAAGCAGCAUCACCCAACGAAGACUGCUUUUGUUACUUGUCACUAUAUAUCAUGACUUUCUAUGUUGAAGAUUUCCUGAGCAAGAUCUUUCCUAGGAAUAUAUGGUUUCAUGGGAGGGUUGCGAUUCUUAGGAUGAUGCCUCCACUAUUUGAUUGGUCCCCAGAUUAUUCUCUGUUGGCUUAUGAACAUCUUCGGUUGUUUAUUUCUUUUUUUUUGCAGGUCUGGUUGGAAAAGAUCAGGUGUAGAAUCCCACAGCUGUUGGUGUGGUUUAAGGUUUCAAGAAGUUUCCUGUUAUAGUCAUGAUCAACAGUGCAUACUGCUUGAUUGAUGUUAUUCUCAUUGAAAUCUGUUGGAGCUUUGAGAUACAGUUAUGCUGGGUUGAUUUUUCUCUUGUGUAAAUGAAGAAAUCGUCAUGGUUAGGUAAAGCUUCUAUGUAAAGGUCAACUGAACCUGGAUGUUGCUGCAAUGAGUUUCACCAUGUUGCGUUUGAGAAUUGGCUGAGUUACAGUUUUUACUUAUGUAAAUGCUGAAAUGCAAAUGAUUUCAACAGGUAAGCAUUGGAUAUGAUGAUCUUAGAGCUGCUGCAAAUUCUCUUCACCAGAUGAUUGUGUGAAGUAUGUUCUUGGAAGUCCUAUUGGUGUUUUAGUUUCCUUUCUUUGCACCACCUGGUGUAGUCACACCAAUGUUAUGGCUUCUCCAGUUGGCUCUUAGGCUUUACCAUACAGUGUUUGUUCAUAAUUCUGCAUGGUUUAAUAGAAUAUUUUAACAAUUUCAAGGUUGGGCUCGAAAUGGGUAGGUACUGAUCUAGGUUAUUGUCGAAUUCUGAAUAUUUUGAUGCGUGGCAUAUGCAAUGGGUAGUGGCUAAUUGAGGAAACUGUUGGCACGUUGAUGAUCCAGGCUCUCGGCGAAUAUUUUGAUCGAAUUUCCCCCUCGAAAAUAAAUCCAAAAUUUUUAGAUUAAA